CAGAGCCACUGGGUUAGGACUUGUGGAGCGGUGCAUGCAGGAAGGAAAGGCUGCCCUAGAGGCAACACCUGUUUGAAAUGUCCCUGUUAUCUCUGUUUUAACCUGUUCUUCAGCUCAUCUUUCCUGCCUCUCCUGGCUUCUUUAUCUCUCCAGGAGAAAGCUCUGCCUUUCUCUUGAAUUCCCCAUGUAACUCACUGUUCUGUAACCUUGCGCUUAAUUGUCUGUCUCUUCCAGUAGACGGCGAGGGGUUUAAGGACCAGGUCUCCAGAGUGCGGCCCCUGGCAGGAUAAUGAAUGAUGAGUAAACGCACGAGUGAGUGAACCAUGUGGUGGAGCCAGACGCCAUCUUGAAAAACAUAGAUGAGAGUGGUCUCCCAAGAAGCCCUUCUGAUGACCAGCGAGCUAGAACCUGAGAAAUGAGGUCAAUGACCAAACAAAGACACGGCACUGGGUAUUUCCCUGCUAGAAUGUGUGGAAAUAUAUAAUAACACCAAACCCCAAUGAUGGAAAACAAGCUGUGAGUGGAAGUGGAGGCAUUUGGGAUUAAAUCCAGGGCCUUCAUGCUGAGGUACAUCCCCAGCCCUGUUUGUUUUCGAUUUUAAGAAAGGCUCUUGCUAAAUUGCCCGGGCUGGGCUCGAACAAUCCUGUCCGAGCCUCCCAGAGUGCUGGGAUCGCAGGCGUGUGCCACCACUCCCAGCAGGUACUUACCUCUUGAAGCCUCAGUCUCCUCAUCUGUAAAAAUGGAAAUAGGAACAUCUACUUUGUGUACAAACUAAACUGGUUAAAAAGAAUCUAUUCCUUCUGAUGACGAGUCCAUGAGGUGUUUUAGUGAGAAAAAAAUCCUGCCACCUGAAGAUGUAUUUUCUUUGUAGCAAGCAAGUAGACUUCAGACAAAGUGCCAAAUAGGGAAAUAUUUAUUAGCUUCGAACAACCCUGUCUUUCUCAGCCUGUUGCUGGCGUGUCACUGACAUAGCCUUUACAUCUCCUGUAGUGUAAGCAUCCUUCUAACACCGAGAGUCACACGGGCCUCUUGGGGAAAACCUGAGCUGCCCCGGGAAGUACAAAUGUGAAGAGCGAUAGGUUCAUGGUGGUUCUAACCUUUCGUCUCUCUAUGGAAUCCUUUGAGAAUGUGAUGAAAGCUGAGGACAUUUUCUCAAGGAAAUUGCACACAUAUUUCUGACAAUAAAGAGGCUUUUUCAACUUGAGGCUCAUCUUUGGGUCCCGGUUUGUGUGAAUGGUGGAGUAGAUGUCCAUAGACCUCAAGUGUUUUAGUGUUCCAGAGCUGGAAUGGUAAAAUGUCAUACAUUGGGUGAUAUUUAUUUCCUCACAAUUCUGGGGGUUAGGAGUCCAUGAUCAGGGUGCCAAGAUAGUUGGGUUCUGGAAAGGACGCUCUUCCUGGCUUGCAAACUGCUACCAUCUUGUGUGUGUGUGUGUGUGUGUGUGUGUGUGUGUGUGUGUGAGAGAGAGAGAGAGACAGAGAGAGAGAGAGAGACAGAGAGAGAGACAGAGAGAGAGAGAGACAGAGAGAGACAGAGAGAGACAGAGAGAGAGAGAGAGAGAGAGAGAGAGAGAGGGAGGGACAGAGAGGCUCUCUGGUGUCUCUUUUCACGAGGGCAAUUAUCCCUUCAUGGAGACUCGAUCUUCGUGAGUUUAUCUGAACCCAAUAACCUCUUAAUACCAUCACAUUAGGCUGGGGCUUCAACAUAUGAGUUUUAGGAGACACAAAUCAGUCCACAGCACCAGGUCAUAAACCCUGUGCUACGGGAGUAAGGGUGAUAGAGGGGAAAAGGUCCUGGAUCCCAGUCAACCAGAACUGGGCCCUAAGACAGGGGGCCACUUGGGGUCUCUGAACUUCAUUUGUCUCACUUCUCUCUCCUUAUGCUACCGGUUAGUGAAGCCAUAUCAUAUGGCAAGUGUCCUUCUGUCCAAUACCAUUGCUAAGCUGUUUGAAAAGCAAAGCAAGUACUGUUAUUUGCACUUGCAGCUAAGGAAACUGAGUCAUAAGGAGGUUGAAUAGUCGGUCUAAGGUCACAUAGCUAAAGAAUGAACUGCACUUGGCAUUCAUGCCCAGCCAGCUCGGGGCUUUUGCUGUACAUGGAUGUGUUGAUAUCAUAACUGCACUGUGAGAACUGCACAGGACCCAGCGGAGAGAGGCCUUUUGGAAACUAUUCAGGAUGGUCCUUCUCCACAUAUAGGCACACACACACACAAACACACACACACACACACACACACACACAUGCACAGUGUUAUUAUUUUGUGGGAAGAGAGACAUCCAUUUUUGUAGUGGGACAACAAAAUUCCCAUGGGUCUCAGUUCUGAAGUUUUCUCUCACGGGAUUUAGAACAAGCCUUGUUAGAGGAAACCAAGUCAUCAGGCUCAGAAAUAUCUGGGACAUUCCUCUUUAGACCGCUUCCCUUUUAGACAUCUUCUCUUUUCAAUACCCUGCUCUAUUUGUGCUUGUUUACAUGGGUCCUUCCCAGGCCACACCUGCUGGCUUCUUGAAAAGCUGUCUCCAAGCAGUCGUGGUUUGGGGUAGUGCAGGAGAAAUAAGGAAACGGCUAGCAGAUGGAUGAGGGCCCAAUAGCACCUUUGUUCUGCUGCCUGCCUGGCAAGGCCAGGGCUGACUAGGCGCUGCUCUUGUGGGUGUCCCUGAUGGCAGGAC
rnacentral:lncRNA from 1 species